AUCAAGAACUGAAACUGUAAGAUGACUGUGGACUUUCCUGAAAAAGGGAAGGGGAAAAAAUCAAGGGCCUUGUUCUAACACAUCAGGUGGCAGAGAAGAGGAGAAAUAGGAUACAGAAACACAUCAGCAAAGGGAAAGGAGGAAGCACACACCUUUGCCAUCCAUACAGAAAUUUUAUGGCACUUCCAUUUCUAUGGAGCAUUACACAUGGACGCCUAAAUAAUGGAAUUAAAAAUAAACACAGACUUCCUCGUUCAGGAACAACAGGCAGAUGAGAUCUUCAGUUGAUAACUCAUCAUGUGCGAGCUGCUCCAGGCAACAAGCAACCUUCUACAAGGACUAUUGGCU